UACAGAGGUUGCAAGCGUUAAUCGGAAUUACUGGGCGUAAAGCGCGCGUAGGCGGCUACUUAAGUCGGAUGUGAAAUCCCUGGGCUCAACCUAGGAAUUGCAUUCGAUACUGGCUAGCUCGAGUUUGGUAGAGGAGAGUGGAAUUCCCGGUGUAGCGGUGAAAUGCGUAGAUAUGGGGAGGAACAUCAGUGGCGAAGGCGGCUCUCUGGACCAAAACUGACGCUGAGGCGCGACAGCGUGGGGAUCAAACAGG
rnacentral:rRNA from 1 species